CUGAACAAAACAAACUGUGAAGAGUUUUUCAGUUGUUGUGAUAUGUUGACAUUUCGCAGGAGCGAGGGGUGGAGUGUUGUAGUGGUUUGAACCUUGUUUUCCCCCAGAGGCUGAAAAGUGGUAACCCCCAGGGGUGGAAACCCCUGGAAGUUUUGAAGUUCUGC